GAAGUCACAUGGUUUACAGAAAGUGGGCUGCAAGUUAAAGAGCAGAGAAGAGGCAAUGAGCUGCAGUCAGUCAGAAGAACAAACACAGUUUACAGUCAGUCUGUCAGCAGAUCCUCUCCUAACUUUAUUCAACCAAACUUUCAGCUGCAGUCUUUAAUGUAAACAGGAAGUAGAGUUCUGUUUACUUCCUGACUUGUGGAUGUUGAUCGAGCUGAGUUAGUGUCAGUGUUUACCUUCCAGUGAACACGGCUGAACACAGCCUCUGCAGGAGGACAUCAGAGGGAACCGCAGCAAAUAUAAUGUGAACAAAAUCUGAUCCAGUUUGAAUAAAGUUCUGAAGCUGUGGUUCUGUACAGUAAUCAGUGAGGCCCGGACAUGACUGUAGCAGCCCUCACAUUCAGUCAAUGACUGAAUCAGACUUUGGUGUGUGUUCCUCUCUUGUUCCCAUGCAUCAGUGUUUAGUUCUAGUUUUUGUCUAUGUGUGACCUUAAUGACCCACAGGUGACCUCGACGACCCACAGGUGACCUCUGUUAUGGAUUAUUACCCCUAAAAUAUACAGCACGCAGAACGGCUGCACAACAGCUCCGCUACAGAACGGCUGCGUACUCAACUCCAACUCACACAUAAUCCGUUUGUGAUGCACUCAGAGGGCUGCCGGUUGCUACAGUCGUUCCAGAGCUGUGACGCAGCGGGGACGGAGACUGUGUGAGCUGACACAUUGACUAACAUGAAACUUGAAAGUGUGUCUAAUUCUCCUUGGCUAAGCGUCAAUAAAUAAUACAGCAUAAGACAUCAGAGGCUCCUGAACACUUUCUUCCUUCCUGACCUCACCAUUGACCUUUGACUUCAGCAAUUUCUCCACAUCAACCUUGACGACCCACAGGUGACCUCAACAACUCACAGGUGACGUAGUACACAGGGGACUUAUGCAGUGGCUCUGCUACACAGAAACACAUCCACAUAUGAAUCUAAAUCCUCUUUCGACUCAUUUUCAUUCAUUCAUUCAUUCACCUUCUUGCAUGGCCCUGUUAGCCUGUCCAAUACAAACUGGUAGCCAUCUGAUUUCUUCACAAAACACUUCCACUGUCAUGCAGUGAGACUGAAAGUGGUGUGUUCAUUUCAGAGGGU